UAUAUACUUUAUAUAUCACUCUAAAGAUAUUCUUAUACAUACAGAAGCAGAGGCCAUAUUUAUUCUUAUGAUGGUACCUCUAAUAAUGAUCAAAUUCUUAUUUUUUUUAGAUUUGGGAAAAGGGAGGUGUAUAGAUGUCCCCAGAAAAAUUGGUUUUAGCUUCUGCAUCACUGCAAAUGAUCAACUAUAAUAGGUAAUAAAGUAUAGGGGAAAAGUAUUGAAUUUAGAUGCAGAAGACCUAGAUCCAAAUUUUGACUCUCUGAAGGGGUAUUGAUGUGAUUUUGAAUAAGUCACUUAACCUAUCAGAGCUUCAGCUACCUCAUCUGUAGAAUGAAGAUACCGAAUUAUCUCCUUAAGAUUCUUCCAGCUUCAGAACUAUAAUGCUAUGACCAGUGAGUCUCAGCUUGAGGUUCAUUUAGCUUUUCUUUUCUGGACUAGCCAUCCUUCCCACCAAAACAUAAAAACUGCUAAAAUAACAGGCCUGCCCAGGCUCAUUCAUUUGUUUCAAUAUUUUCCCCCUAAUUACAUGCAAAACAAUUUUUAUAUUUGUUUUUAAAACUCUCUCCAUCCCCCCAAAAUGAGAAGAUACAUAUGAUGUUAUACAAAACAUUUCCAUAAAAGUCAUGUUGUAAAGGAAAAUAUAGAUUCUUGUCCUUCCAAGAAAACUUUCAACAACAAUGAAAUAAAAAAAAAUUCUUUUUUUACAAUACGAUCAGUUCUUUCUUUCUCUGGGAAUGGGUGGUCAGGGUCAUCAUUUGCUCCAUACACUCAUGUAAUAGCACUCUCUAAGUAAAGAUUGUUCAUACUCUGAGAAGAGGUUACCCCAACAUGGCAGAAUCCAAUCCAAUAAUGCUCAUUCUGUGUACCUCUUGUCCAUGUUGUCCCAUAAAUUCUCCACAGGUGAUCCACUUGACAUUCUAUUUUUUUUUUUAAUGGAUGAUACCAAUAACAACACAUAUAGACCUUCCAUUGCUCAUUGCCUGUUCUUGUCAUGAAAAAGUCUAAACUAUACAGGCUGACAAAACCCCAGCGAAUAUGAUAUCAUUAGAUUUUGGGUCAGAUCAUAAAACCAAUAAUAGCCUGAGGGCUGGGAAAGGACCUUGGAGAUGAUUAGCCCAGUUUACUCAAUUCACAGAUUAAGAAACAUGGGAUACAAGAACAUAAAAUUCAGCCUAGCCAAAAAUUGUGUGUUAUUUUAAAAGAUGCCUUAAAUAGGAAUCUUAAUGUCUUAAAUCUUAAUCUUAAAGUAUAUUCAUAAUGUCAGGUUGUUAUUUCUAAGUAAUCACAUUUCAUUCGUACAAAAUAUAUGGGAGGUCUUAAGAACCAGUGGUAUCUCAAUAGUAAAUAUGAAAAAAGGUUGCAUUACAAUGCAGCCAAGUAAUCCCAAAGCCCCACAGAGCAAUGAUGAUUAAUAACACUCUGGAGAAGGAGCAUAAAUUUUAAUGAUAUUGCUCAUAAAAUUCCCAUUUCAAAGGUUACACAACAGAAUCAAGUUUGCCAAAAAGCAAACAAAUCAUUGGGAUCUGGGAUUUCUUCUCUCUUCUGACGUUGUUUUAAUGGAAUCUACAGCCAGUCCCUGGAGCUGAUGAACUUGACUCAUCUAAAAUGAUAUGUAAGAACCUAUGGCUUUCACGAAAAAGCCUGGAUCUAGCUGGAAUCAGCUCCAAUCGAAUUAGUGCUGAUUCUAAUUUAGUUUGUUUUUAAAACUAAGAAAGCAGGCUUCUGGGAUAUGCCCUUUAUGAACACAGUAUUUGUUAAUGAUCAUGGUGAGACACAAUGCCUCCUCCUAAGAUUAGAAGAUUUAGGGGGUAAUCUACCCUUGGCUAUGGAUAAAUAUCUACAAGAAUACCAAGUUGAAUCCUCAUAGAGGGAAUUGGAAGGAUUUGAAAAGCAUUUGGAGUGCAAUGAAGAUGAUGAUUGGAACAUAUGGAGGAAAGAAGUGAGGGUGGCGGAGUGGAUGGACUACUGACCUGACAAUGAAGAGGAUCUGG